rnacentral:lncRNA from 1 species
CAUUAUCAUGCACACACAUUUAUAUAUCAUAACACAUUAGCAUUUCAUUUACAUUAUUUGAACACAAGCACAACAUGCUUAUCAACCAUUCCACUUUCGGCUCAAUAGCCACAUACAAAGAACACGAUUUCGUUUCGCUAUCCAACAUGAUUUCUAUAACCAUUCGGCUACAAGUCAUAUGCACAAAUUAUUUAUCCCACUACGUAAUUCAAGUAGAACCAAUAGGUCACAAUUUAUUUAUUAUGCUUAUAUACCAUGAUUUUAUCAAAUCAUAAGCUAAGUUUCAUUACUCAAAGACUUACCUUGACUGUCGUCGAAUGACUACGGAUAUGCUAUUUGGUUAGUUUAGCUUUUUCCCUUAUCCGAAUUAGGCUCCUUAAGCUCUUGAGCUAGAUUAAACAAAUUCACUUGUCACUAAUUCAUUAAUCAUGCCUUUUAUUCGGUUAUAUUAAUAAUUUAAAACACAACAUCACCAAGCUAUUACUCACAUUCACGUUCGGCAAGGACCAAUUAAUAAACCUUAAAUUCAAAAUAACUUCAAUCUUAUGAUUUUACAAUUAUCUUAUACUUUCACAUAUAACUUAUUUAUGGCUGCAUAUAUAUAUUAUCAAAGUAUCUUUCGGUUCCAAAACUCAAUCAUUAAAACACGUGCAUGUACACACAUAAACAUAUACUUAUGAAUUAAAAUAUAAUUUCUUAUGCAUAAGCAUAGCAAUGACCGCAUAAACACUCAUAUAUAUAUACAAUAGAUGCAUUAACAAUUUAUCAUUCAAUGACUAAGCCAAAACAUCUUUAUCAUAUCAUUUACACUUUUGCUUACAAGUAUAUACUCUUAAAUCAAGGUAUAACAAUCACACGUGUAUAUU